UACCAGCACCCCGAGUGGUCGGGAGGUUUAUUGGGCCUAAAGCAUCCGUAGCCGGUUCUAUAAGUCUUACGUUAAAUCCAACUGCUUAACAGGUGGGCUGCGGAAGAUACUAUAGAGCUAGGAGGCGGGAGAGGCAAGCGGUACUCGAUGGGUAGGGGUAAAAUCCGUUGAUCCAUUGAAGACCACCAGUGGCGAAGGCGGCUUGCCAGAACGCGCUCGACGGUGAGGGAUGAAAGCUGGGGGAGCAAACCGG
rnacentral:rRNA from 1 species